rnacentral:rRNA from 1 species
AUUGAACGCUGGCGGCAGGCCUAACACAUGCAAGUCGAACGAGUGGCGGACGGGUGAGUAAUGUCUGGGAAACUGCCUGAUGGAGGGGGAUAACUACUGGAAACGGUAGCUAAUACCGCAUACCAUCAGAUGUGCCCAGAUGGGAUUAGCUAGUAGGUGGGGUAACGGCUCACCUGGGCGACGAUCCCUAGCUGGGCUGAGAGGAUGACCAGCGACCUUGGAACUGAGACGCGGUCCAUGCUCCUACGGGAGGCAGCAGUGGGGAAUGUUGCACAAUGGGCGCAAGCCUGAUGCAGCCAUGCCGCGUGUAUGAAGAAGGCCUUCGGGUUGUAAAGUACUUUCAGCGGGGAGGCGUUACCCGCAGAAGAAGCACCGGCUAACUCCGUGCCAGCAGCCGCGGUAAUAC